CAUCCACUCCUCCACCAGACGUGGGUAGUAACGAGUUACAUUUACUCUGUUACAUUUACUUGAGUAAGUUUUUGAAAAAAAUUAUACUUCUAGGAGUAGUUUUAAAUCACUAUACUUUUUACUUUUA